AGGACGAACGCUGGCGGCGUGCUUAACACAUGCAAGUCGAACGGAAAGGCCCUGCUUUUGUGGGGUGCUCGAGUGGCGAACGGGUGAGUAACACGUGAGUAACCUGCCCUUGACUUUGGGAUAACUUCAGGAAACUGGGGCUAAUACCGGAUAGGAGCUCCUGCUGCAUGGUGGGGGUUGGAAAGUUUCGGCGGUUGGGGAUGGACUCGCGGCUUAUCAGCUUGUUGGUGGGGUAGUGGCUUACCAAGGCUUUGACGGGUAGCCGGCCUGAGAGGGUGACCGGCCACAUUGGGACUGAGAUACGGCCCAGACUCUACGGGAGGCAGCAGUGGGAAUAUUGCACAAUGGGCGGAAGCCUGAUGCAGC
rnacentral:rRNA from 1 species